GACAUGCUGCUUGGACUGCGCCUGCGCCCGGGGAGGGAGGGUGUUGUCUACAGCGUCAGUCACCGCGUCACCAGGCAGUCUCAGCCCGCACGGGCCGCCCCCCAAGACUCUCAGUCCCGGCACAGUCACUGGCAGAUCUGCGACGGGCACCACCUGCUCCAGCGGCAGCAGCCGGCCCUCUACCGGGACGAGCCCCAGGCGCCCGGGAGGGCAGCCAGCCUCGGAGUGCCCCUCCUGCCCCUCAGCCUCAGCCUUCUGACCUUCCCACAGGCCAUCCUGCGUGUCUCGGUCACUCGGUGUUUUUGGCUUGGCUUUGUGAUCUGUACCUGCCAUGGAGAACAUCAGUAAACACGAGUCACAAUCAAGAUCUCUGGCGAAAGGCCUGGGGUGGGAGGAGCCUGCGAUGGGAGCUGUUUCCCAGAGAUUCAGCCCACCUUGCCUUGCAAGCGCAAGGUUCCAAGUUCGAUCCCCGGUACCAAAAAAAAAAAAAAAAUCCACCCCUUUACAGUACAGGAGUAAGUGUUCUUAGGGUAUUUGCAAUGUGGAGCAACCAUCACCACUGUCUGUCCCCCGCACUUCCGUGGCCCCACAAGGAAGCCGCAUCCGGCUCCCAGAAGGCACCACCCUCUGUCUUUGUGACCUGCGCUGUGGACCCCAUGCGGUGUUCGCCCUCGGCAGCAGCACCCCUGGGCCGCAGUGGCUGUAUGGACUCGGAGUGUGUGGUCCUGUCUUGCUGACCUUCCCCCUGUUCGGGGGAGCGGGUCGGGCUGUGUGUGGGGUGAUGCGGUGGCCGUGGCCCCCUAGUCCAGGUUGGGUCUCAGACCGCUGGCCCUGGGCGUGCAGGCAUCCUCUGGAAGCUUGGCGCUGGGCUCCACAAGAGGGCGCUGUCUGAAAGUCUUCCGUGCGCUGGGAGUGACGCAGCCGUUCAGGAGGGUUUGGGGCGCGUGCUCCUGUCUUCCCAAACAUCUAGAGCUCAAGGAGUGCAGAAAAUUCUGACCUCCCUACCCACCCGACCACCCAACCACCCAGCCACCCAGCACCCACCCACCUCCUCCCACUGUCCUCACCAUUUAGCGGGCAGGGACCAAGUAGCCCAGCCCUGUCCACGAUUCCUCUGUGAUCAUGGAAAGCCACAUGUGGUCACUGAGGGAAACUGAGGCUCAGGGAGGUUAAGGAACUUGCCCAGGGUCAUGGGGCUCACAUACAGCUGAGGCAGCAUUCGAACCCAGGCCUUGUGGUGCAGGGCCCAGGCUUUACAUGCGCCACGGUCUCAGGUCAGGUCCGGGUGGGUGAGGGACAUUCAGCGGCCAGCAGGGAAGGAGAAGGCUCCUUGUCCCCCUGGACUGGCCCCUGUGGUGUCCGAGCUCCUCAGCGCUUCCAGGCUGGGGCUGAGAGCCUGUUAUUGUGCUUUUGGCAUGGUGGGCACCAGCCUGGCCAUUGCAUAGGCAGCACACAGGGCACCAGGUCACCGGCCCGUGCCCCUCCUCAGGCUGAGAGGGACAGAAGGGCACAUCCGGGUGGGGAUCACCUGGCCGCAUUCUUCGUGCUUCCCCAGUCUCUGCUUCUAUAGGCUGAUCUGAUGGAGGAGGCCUUGACCCAGCCUCUGAGCCACACCCCAGGAGACUGGCUUCUCCUGGCCCCACCCAGCUGCCACCCAGCUGCUUCCUUGGGCAGCGAAGGGCCACUCCACCUUCUCUCUCCAUCCCAGGGGCGGAGGAUGUCAUCUGCAGUCUCGGCCCUCUGGAUCAAAACACGAUGCUUGCCCUUCCCAGGAUGGGGAACAGCGCCUGCACUGCUGCGGUGCUGUGUCCCCACCACACCUGUGGUGUCGCAUUUAUGACACAAGUGUUUCCCUCUCGCACCCCUGAGAAAGGUCACUGGCUUUUAGCCCCCAGUGAGUGUCUUUCCAUGUCAGAAGCAGACACUCAGCAGCCCCAGUGCAACCCAGAGCAGAGAGCCCUUCCUGCUCGGGUUCCCUGGGCCUCCUGAGCCGAGGGCCUGGCCCAGAGAUGCCUGGGCCCUGCCGGGCUGUCCUGGCACCAGUGCAAUUGUAGGAGCAGGUUUAUGUGUCGCUUGCGUCAAGGGCUCCUUCCUUGCAGGGAGGCCCAGCCCUAACUGGAGAGUGGAAGUUGGGGUCCUGCUCUCUUCCUGGGAGGUGAUCUCUGGCCUGGCUCUUGGGCGCAGCAGCUCCCUAGGGGCCCACCCGCCCGUGUCACUCACCAAGGUCCAGCGCUGUGGCAGUGGGGAGCUGCACCGUGAAUGGCCAUGAUGUCACUUGGGACCUGCCCAGUUGGCCAAAUCCCACCUGGUUGUGCUGCCCUCCACUGCCCUUGGCCUCUGUUUGCUGAACCCCUCUCAGCACCCGCUUUGGAGAGGAGGUGCUUGUUCCUCAGCUGCAAUUGCUGCCGAGUGGAGUGGGGUGCUGUCUCUUCUCAGUGUCCACAGGAGGAAGAGACGGCAGGGGGAGCUUGAUGGCCAUGUGCAUUGUCAGUGUGGCUGGAGCAGGCAGGAAAGUCUGGAGGGGUCCUGGAAGGGAUGAGGGGACCCCUUAGGGCACCCUGCCUCUGCUCUGCCCAGCUGGGCUGGCAGCUCCGGGCCAGUGGGGUGGGGAGGCUUCUGCUGGUUGCAUUGUGGCUAUCCUAGCCUGGCCCUGCCAGCCUGGGAGCCCUUGUGCAUGAGUGAUGGGAGCGGGCGUGUCCAUGCUGUGCUCCAUAGGGGUAUCGGACGCUGUGGCUGUCUGGGAAGUGGGCUGUUUGAGGCUACUUAUCCAUAAAUUGCCACUGGGUCAGGACUCUUGGUCGUAAAGAACAGGAAAGCUAAUUCAUGUUGACUUAAGCUAGGAGGGAAUUUGUUAAUUUACAUAAUGGAAAAGUCUAGGGCCCUGAUGGCUUCAGGGGCAGCUUGAGCCAGGGAUGCAGACAGUGUUGGCAGGACCCAGCUUCUCCUCACAUCAUGCCUCUGCGGCCCUCUAUACCACUGGCAGGCAGGUAGUUUUGAAAAAUAGCUGUGAGGAUCUCUGGGUUUGCACCAAAGUAGUGCCAAUUCAGUAGAAAAAAGAGACACUCUUUCCCAUUGUUUCCCACCACUAAGAAGGGAUCUGGAGUUGGCUGAUUGGCCUUGUUGGGGCCACCAGCACUGUGGCUGAGGGGAGGUGCUGCUCUCAGGCACCUUGCAGCCCUGCUGCUGUGGGACAGUCGUCCCGAGCUUAGUGACUUAGAGGGUCCUCUGGUUUCUUUAGCUGGGGAGUCUGCAGUGUGGGCGGUGCCCAGCUGAGAAGUCCCCUCUGCCCCAUGUGGCAUCAGCUGAGCCAGCCCAGGCUGGGGCUGAUGAUUCCGUCAAGAUGGUGAAGUGGGUUAGCUGUCAGGCCAGGCCUGGCGCUGUGUCUGUGGCCUUCCCUGCAGGCUGGGUGUCCCUGGGCACGGCCGUGAGUGUCCCAGGAGACCGGCAGUGGCAGGCUGACCUGCAUCUCUUCUGCUGUGGUCUACGGGCCAAGCCACUCCAGAACCCAGGCACCAGGGAAGGGGAUGCAGGCCCUCUCUAGAUAGCGGACCAGAUUGGGCUCUCCGUGAGGCAGAGGUGGCCCUCCGUCCUCAGGGUGAGGCCCGAGAAUGGCGGUGGGGUCUCCUCUUGGCAGAGGCCAAUUUCAGACUCAGGAGAAAAAGCCUCGGGAGGCAGAGGUGCUGCACAGUCUCCAGCUCCACUCUUACGGCCUCGUGAGCGUCCUGGUGCCCAGCACCUGGGGUUGACUCUGAGAGGUGAGGACACUGCAGGACCUCACAGAGAAGCCCAGGGGCUCCCCCUGGGCAGCACCCUGUUCUGGGGACUUGGAUGUCCAGGCUUCACGCACCUUGACCCGCCCGGCCUGGACCUGCCACAGGAGGAGCCGUGGACGUGGCCCUGCAUGGAUGUGGCUCAGACUCCUCCAGCAUGGUCUCCACGCACCUGUGUGUGCAGCCCCGCACCCCUGAAGGGACAGAUGGGGCACAGGACUGCAGCCUCUCAGAAGUGUGGGGAGUGCAUUGGUCAGGGCAUGGGGGAGGUUGUGGGCAGGCCUCCUGGUGGCCGGGAUGAGCAAAGAGCGGGGAGCAGCACCUGAGGGGUGGGGUGUGGGGCUACAGGAUCUUUCUGGGGCUAACAGUGGUUUGUUUGCUUAUUUAUUGAUUUGUUUCUGCAGUGCUGGGGAUGAGCCCAGAGCCUUACACUGAGCUACAUCACCAGCCCUUUCAUUUUUUUUUCUGAGACAGAGUCUUGCUGACUUGCCCAGGUGGGAUUCGAACUUGUGAUCCUCCUACCUUAGCCUCCCAGAGUGCUGGGAUCACAGCUGUGCUCCACAAGCCCAUCUGACUGUGUUUAAAAUGCCUGGCGAUUUGGAGCAGGAGGAGGUCCUGAGCUUUCCUCUGAAUUGAUUCUCAGGACUACCGAGCACCUCACAAGAGGACCCCCUCUCUCCGGGGAGAGCCCCGCCCCUGUGCUUUGCUUGGGGACCCUCAGGUCCCUUCCUGUUGGAAGUGGUUCCCAUAUUUGACAGGCUUCUGGACAGAGGCAUGGCUGGAGCUCUUGGGUGUGGGGUGACCUGCUUUCCUUCUGGGGAUUGGCUGGCUCAUUUGUCCUGGGAACAGCAGGGCCACCCGCCCCAGGCCCGCCUGUGGUGCUGGCCGAGCAGCUGUGUGCUCUCACCAGUGCCAGACAUGGGAUCAGAGAGGUCACUGGUAGCUGCACAGUGGAAGGCAGCAAAACGCUUCCCAGCCAAGGGACAGAGCAGUCUGCAUGUGGAGCCAGCAGGCGAGUGGAGGGUCACUCAGCAGCUCUGGGCCUGCUGGGCCCUUGGGGUCACCCACACAGUUCCAGAUGUGCUGCUGACUUCUGGCUGCAGCAGGUGGACAGUGUCCAGGGUCUGAGAAACACAUGCUAGAGGACUCCAUUGCACCAGCAGCUUCCUGUAAGCGACAGGUGUUUCCUUCCCCGCAGAACUCAGCCACUGUCCCUUCCCUCAGAGGCCCUUCCUUCAGCCUUCAGAGGUUAGGACUGGAUGUCUUCCGGAGGUUGUUACCCUGCAGCCCACACUCCCUGAGGAGCCUGCCAAAGAGCCUGAUGGCACAGUCACCUACGUGACCCUUCUGGAAGGUCCUGAAGCUGUGAGGCAGUGCCGAGCCCGGGGCUGCCCCUUGUCAGGAGGCCAGGACAGUCAGACACUGGGCCUCUGUUACCGCAGAGGACAGGCCAUGAAGGCCAGACCUCGGAGGACCCGGCUGCUGACGCUUGGUGACCACAGCUGUCUCUGCCACAUGCACCUUGCCGCCUGAACUCGAUGCAGUCCAGACGGGAGCUGUUUCCCUGUGCCUGCUUUCAAGUCAGGAGAGUGAGCGGGGUGUGGGGGUGCACCCCUGUGGUGCCAGCACCCUGGGGGGCUGAGGCAGGAAGGAUCACAAGUUCUAGCCUGGCCUGACCAGUUUAGAGACUUAGUGAGACCCUGUCUCAGAAAAUAAAAAUGGAGCUCAUUGUGAAGGCCCUGGGUUCAAUGUCCAGGACCACAGGGAAAAAAGAGGGGGAGAGGGGAGGGAGGAGGAGAGAAAAGCUCCCCGAGAGCUCCAGCGCUUGUUUCCUGCCACGUAGCUCCUCAGAACCAGAGCUGGGGGCCCAGCCCACGUCUGAAUGGGAGGCUGGCUGUACCCGCAGGCAGCACUACCUCACACCUGUCGUACCUGGGCAGCCCUGGAGGGAGGCUUUGCCCAGAGAGGUUUAGCCACUUCUCUGGUCCCAGAUGCCUCAUGUGGCCUCCGAGGCCCCAAUCCCAAGAAGUCCUGUCAGGAGCUUUGCUGCCCGUGAUGGCUCAGGUCCCACACUGCAUCUGGUAGCUCCAUCCUGAUGGUGGUUCAUGGGCUCCCAGGCCCUCCCCUCUGGGUCUGCCAGACUCGGCUGUGCUCGGUGGGCUCUGUCUGCUGAGACCCCGUCUCCACCCCUGGACAAACUCACCCAGUGGGCCUUGUGUGCCCCUGCUUGGCAUGGUGAGGGAGGGAGUGACUUCCGGAGCCCGGCUCUCCCCAUGCGCGGCUGGGGUCCCAGCGGCUCCUGUGCCCUCGGGGCUCAGUCUGUGUCCUGAGGGACAGGGGUGUGUGUGGGGGCCUGUGUGGCCUGCACCUGACCCGCCUGCUGCCCCAGCCCUGCCCUGUGCCCACUGCAGGCCCUGUCUGCUUCCCAGGACUCUUGGCUGACCCGCAUUGCCCCAAGGUGGCCUCAGUGCCAGGGCUGGGGCAGGGAGUGCCCAGGAUGGCUCUGUGAUCAGCUGGUGAUGUCUGCCGCAGGCCCGGGCUGGGCUUGUGUGCGAGCCUUGUGGGUCUUCAUCGCUCCCCAGUGACUCCCCGGUGUUUGGCACAGGGUGGCGUGGGUAUCCACUGUUUCCUCUGAGGGGUGUCACGCUGGGGGGUUGGAGAGCCCACCAGAGGGACGGGAAACUUCCUGUCCUCUCUCUUGCUGUUUCCAAGGGAGACCGCCCACUGAGGGCACCGUUUUCAUGUUAACACAACAGACCAGGUCGAACCGGAGCAGGGAAGGUGCUGGCACCCGGAGGAGGCCAAGCCUGGCAUUCCACCUCGGGGAGCAUUCUGUUGCCUCAGCACCUGCCAAGCAAGUGUGUCCUUUCCAGACAUCCCACACUCGGGGAGAUCCCAGCAUGCCAGCCCCACCAACCCUGCCCACUGCUCCCCCAGGUUCCACUUUACUCAUCCAACAGAUUUGUGAAUCCGACCUUUUUAAAAAGGGAAAGAUUUAAAAACUGUGUGCACAGCGCGUCCGCUCUCUUCUGUGUGCCCUGCUCCUGUACGUGCAUAGUUGCCUGGGGGCUUGGGCCACAGCCUGGGGCACAGUGUCCUUCGGAGCUGCUUUCUGGGCAGGGCGCUGUGCCUGGGUAUCAGGCCAGGGCUCCUGGUGCUGCCACAUCGGCAUUUCAAAUGCUGAGACUGGCUGGUGGCCCUGGAGGGUCAGCCCCACCCAAAGGCUCAAAGCGUCCACUGUGCCUUGGUCCAUUAUCUCACAGGCUGUGAAAUAGGCUGACAGAGAUUUUGAAUUAUGAACGUCCAUACAGGGACUUCAUUUACUUCUUUUUUCUUUUGGUACUGGGGACCGAACUCGGGACCUUGCACUUACAAGGGAGGCAGCGGAACCACUGAGCUAAAUCCCUGGUCCGUUUUUUUUUUUUUUUGGUACCUCGUUUACUUCUCAUAGCAACCCUGAGGUUAUUGUCUUGCAGCUUUUCAGAGUAGGUCUGCCAUGGCUUCGCAGCACCACAUGGUCCUGCAUGGGGUUCCAAGGCCACAGGGGCCAAUGGGGCUGCGGUAGCAGGGAUCUGUUCUGAGACCCUGAUUCUCUGUGAACAGUUUUUUUUUUUUGGUACUGGGGAUCGAACUCGGGACCUUGCACUUUUGAGGCAGGGGCCAAAACCACUGAGCUAAAUCCCCGGCACCGUGAAC